AGGGGUACAGCUCAGUGGUAGAGCACGUGCUUAACAUGCACAAGGUCCUGGGUUCCAUCCCCAGUACCUCCA
rnacentral:tRNA from 1 species